CCUGUUUCCGUCACUCGCUUGCAACUUUAAACAGACCCUGCGCCGAACCCCAACUCGGUCAUCGCACUUAAUACGAAGCCUCGCUCCCGGUUUACUUGAGGUUGCGACGGAAGCUCUUGUACCGACAAGGAGUCGUCACCACCAGAACUGAUUUCCGUGAAGAUGGAAUGAGAGCACGAAAUAAUGCAACUGGGUCAGAUGGCACAUCAUCAGAACCGAUACUUCAUUGUCGGAGAAGCAACUGAAGCAAAUUGCCUCCCACUCAUCCAUUCUCACUCGCCGAUUAUAGAGGAAGAAGAAGAGGAUUUAUUAGUGGUUACAACUUGUGGCAGUUUGUGGCCACUAAAUAAAUAUUAAGUGGCGACGCUCUCAACAAAAGCAACCGAACCCUUCAGUGCCUUGCAGGCAAAUCAAUGAGCUGUAAUGAUCAUUGAUCAGCAGAUGAACCAAUCACCCAUAUGUAACAGCACAUCAAAGAAGAUGGCACGGUUGCUCUCCAGGAAUUGUUUGAAAUGCUUGAAAAGCAACAGUGAUGGAAAAGGACACCUCACCUCUUAGCAAGGAAUGAAGAUCCCAUCAAUAUUUAUCAUGUCCAAUCAGGAUCGCUCAUCACACCAAGAUGGGUGAAAGAAAAGACCUGGUGUACCUGCGCUCUCUAUUUUAGAUUAGCCUCCCCUAGCCAUUUUAAUUUAUUUUUUCAUUUUAUAUUGUCUCAAAACCUCGGUACUUAGCACUCCCUAGAAAGCUAUGUGAGAAUUGUAUGAAAAUUCUUCAAAUAUGUAAUGCAUAGAAGUACUAAGUAAAAAAUAAAUUUAAUGUGGUAUAAA